CUACGGGGGGCUGCAGUGAGGAAUGUUGGUCAAUGGGUGCGAGCCUGAACCAGCCAUCCCGCGUGCAGGAUGACGGCCCUAUGGGUUGUAAACUGCUUUUCUAUGCCAAGAAACCUGAUUACGUGUAAUCAGUUGCCGGUAGCAUAGGAAUAAGCAUCGGCUAACUCCGUGCCAGCAGCCGCGGUAAUACGGAGGAUGCAAGCGUUAUCCGGAUUCAUUGGGUUUAAAGGGUGCGCAGGUGGGCUUGUAAGUCAGUGGUGAAAUGCUGCCGCUUAACGGUAGAACUGCCAUUGAUACUGCGAGUCUUGAGUAUGGUUGAGGUAGGCGGAAUGUGUUGUGUAGCGGUGAAAUGCAUAGAUAUGACACAGAACGCCAAUUGCGAAGGCAGCUUACUAAGCCAUUACUGACGCUGAGGCACGAAAGCGUGGGGAGCGAACAGGAUUAGAUACCCGCGUAGUC
rnacentral:rRNA from 1 species